rnacentral:rRNA from 1 species
UACGUAGGGUACAAGCAUUAAUCGGAUUCAUUGGGCGUAAAGGGUGCGUAGGCGGGGAGGAAAGUUAGAUGUGAAAUUCUGGGGCUCAACCCCAGCGCUGCAUCUAAUACUACUUCUCUUGAGGAUAGGAGGGGAAAGGGGAAUUCCACAUGUAGCGGUGAAAUGCGUAGAUAUGUGGAGGAACACCGGUGGUGAAGACGCCUUUCUGGCCUAUUCCUGACGCUGAGGCACGAAAGCAAGGGGAGCAAAC